GCAAAAGAUUCCAGUCUCCAGUGAAUCAUCACUUGAAAGCAACUUCGAGUACAAUGGAACUGCAUUUUGGUUCGUAAUUGGUGUCUACUCACCUGUACUUUGUCAUCCAGAUGAAGCCGAUGGAGUAUGCGCCGAAAUGUGACUGAGCCAUCUGCUGGCAGCAGUGAACAUGAUCGGCUUCCUGCACAAAAGACCCAACAACUUGACUCUCUCGAUGGUCAACGCACCUGUCCGACGUUCUUAAGAGCCGACCACUUCGCCACCCAGCGACGAGCAGACUGCCAUCCAACUUGCAAC